AUCCACAGUUACGCCACCCUGAACACACCUGAUCUCCUCUGAUCUUGGAAGCUAAGCAGGUUGGGUCUGGUUAGUGUUUGGAUGGGAGAGUACCUGGGAAUACCAGGUGCUGUAGGCA
ensembl:rRNA 5S_rRNA 5S ribosomal RNA